ACGUGAAAUGCAGUGAACUUGAGUUCAGGCAUGUUUAUUUUGGCUUACAGUCUGUACAGAAUGGAAAUUCCAUAUAUGGGUCCUUCUCACCCUUUGAGCUCUGCCAGCUAAAAGGCAGACCUCACUAACUCAUCAGCCUACAGACUGUCUUUGAGGAGGGGAAAUGUGAAUAGCGGACACUCGAGAAACUCAUAAUGCUACUCACUCCUUCAGCAAUAAACAAGGGCAGUGGCCUUUUAAACCUGCUUUCAUGUCCAGACCUCACCUGCAUUUUAUCUGCUAACUAAAGUACCAAUGAUGUAGCUGAUCACUACUCAUUUUCAGGUUCCAGCUGAAAUGCCCCUUCCUCCAGGAAGUCUUCCCUGACAACCUUAGUCUGAGUUUGCUCAAACUUCUUGCUGCUUGCUCUCUUAACUCGAUGGAUUUUCCUCUUCUUAUUAGCCGUCAUAGCCCACUUAAAAGUAUGCCAUUCAGACCAGACUGCAAGCCAUCUGAGGUUAGAGCCCACGUCUGUUUUCGUCAUUGGUCUUGGCACUUGAGAGAAGGGCAUCUCACCUGAAUGUUACACCAUGAAGAAAGGCUUUCCAUCUGACAAAGAUUCAAACAAUGACAAAGGUCUAAACUCACAUAACUCUAAUAAGAUAAGAGAAAUAAGGUAAAAUCCGCAGAGGUGUCCACAUCUUGUGAAGCAGCACUUCCUGCAUCCCUUCUGCCCACUCCUGGAGGUAGAUUUGUUUUUACUUUAUUAUUUUGGGGUGGGAGGAGGUAAUCAGGCUUGCUUAUUUAUUUAUUCUUUAGAAGAGGUACUAGGGAUUGAACCCAGCACCUUGUGCAUGCUAAGUAUGUGCUGUACCACUUGAGCUAUACCCUCCCCGCUUGAUUUGUUUUACAUAGUGUAACAUAAUACUGUAGGAGGUGGAAACUCAUCAGUAAUCUCUUCUUUUAUGUGGCAAGGAUGUUGCAAUAUCUAAGAUCCAAAAAGUAUGGCUGCAGGAGAGAGAUUUACAUUAACUUUUAAUUUUCGCUGUCUCUGUUUUUGUUUUUUUUUAACCUGUAGAAGUUACUUAGACUUGGCACCCGUGUGUGAAUAUCACCCUUAAGCAGGGGUGCAGGGAAAACUCGCUGGGGUGGCUUUAGAAUGAUCCUACUUGGAAGGCUAAGUGUAAGCAGUGUUGAACAUUUAAGAAAUGAGGAUCAAAUUCAGGUCAUGGUAAAUAGUUUGUGUGCUUAUGGGAACUAAAAGACCAGAGGAAAAUGUAUAGUUAACUUUUCUUUUUAUUAUCCAACAGUUUGCAGCAUUCAGACAGCAUGCAUACAUUCUAUGCCAAUUUAGGAAUGAGUUGUCACUAAAGGAUUGAAAACACAGACACAUUUUGUUUAACUUAUAUGUAAACUCCAUCCUUCACAAAACCUUUGCAUACUAUAUACAUAUGAAUAACCAAAUGCAUAAAGUGUGAUACAAUUUCUGA